AGGACGAACGCUGGCGGCGUGCUUAACACAUGCAAGUCGAGCGGUAAGGCCUUUCGGGGUACACGAGCGGCGAACGGGUGAGUAACACGUGGGUGAUCUGCCCUGCACUCUGGGAUAAGCCUGGGAAACUGGGUCUAAUACCGGAUAUGACCUGCUCUCGCAUGGGGGGUGGGUGGAAAGAUUUAUCGGUGCAGGAUGGGCCCGCGGCCUAUCAGCUUGUUGGUGGGGUAAUGGCCUACCAAGGCGACGACGGGUAGCCGACCUGAGAGGGUGACCGGCCACACUGGGACUGAGACACGGCCCAGACUCCUACGGGAGGCAGCAGUGGGGAAUAUUGCACAAUGGGCGAAAGCCUGAUGCAGCGACGCCGCGUGAGGAUGAAGGCCUUCGGGUUGUAAACCUCUUUCGGCAGGGACGAAGCGCAAGUGACGGUACCUGCAAGAAGAAGCGCCGGCUAACUACGUGCCAGCAGCCGC
rnacentral:rRNA from 1 species